rnacentral:rRNA from 1 species
ACGUACUGUGGUGUGAGAGGUGAAAUUCUUGGAUCGCCACAGGACGAACAGCAGCGAAGGCGUUCGCCAAGAAUGUUUUCAUUAAUCAAGAACGAAAGUUUGAGGUUCGAAGACGAUUAGAUACCGUCCUAGUUCAAACCAUAAACGUUGCCAACUGUCUUUUAGAUGCGGUUACUCAUAUGACUCAUCUGGCGGAUCUCGAGAAAUCUAAGUUUUAGGUUCCGGGGGAAGUAUGGUUGCAAAGCUGAAACUUAAAAGAAUUGACGGAAGGACACACAAGAAGUGGAGCCUGUGGCCUAAUUUGACCCAACACGGGAAACCUUACUCGGCCAGGACACUUUUAGGAUUGACAGAUUGAGAGCUCUUUCUUGAUUAGGUGGGUGGUGGUGCAUGGUCGUUCGUAGUUCGUGGAGC